rnacentral:RNase_P_RNA from 1 species
GGAGCCGGCCAGGCAGCCGCUGUGCCGCAAGGCGCGGAGGAAAGUCCGGGCUCCGCAGAGCGGGAUGCGGGGUAACACCCCGGCGUGGCGACACGACGAACAGGGCCACAGAGACGAGUCCCCGGCGUCAAAAACCGGGGGGUGAAACGGGCAACCUCCAUCCGGAGCAACACCAAAUAGGCAAGCGUUCGAGGCCUGCUCGGCCGAGCUUGCGGGUAGGUGGCUGGAGCCGCGGGGCAACCCGCGGCCAAGAGGAAUGGCUGCCAGGGCGCCCUGCCGGAAUACGGCGAGCGCCUACAGAACCCGGCUUAUCGGCCGGCUCCCCUU